AUAAGUUAAUUUAGGUAAUCUACUACCUUGACAUGGUAGGGGUCACAGGUUCAAUCCCUGUUGCGCCCACCA
rnacentral:tRNA from 1 species